ACGACUCUCGGCAACGGAUAUCUCGGCUCACGCAUCGAUGAAGAACGCAGCAAAAUGCGAUACUUGGUGUGAAUUGCAGAAUCCCGUGAACCAUCGAGUUUUUGAACGCAAGUUGCGCCCAAAGCCAUUUGGUUGAGGGCACGUCUGCCUGGGCGUCACGC
rnacentral:rRNA from 1 species